rfam:Myotis lucifugus cont2.24976, whole genome shotgun sequence.
UGCAGCUCUCAGGUGACACACCCGGAACCAGAGAGGAGGGAGUCUGAUUCCGGGUGUGUCACCCGAGAACCGCC